GGGCAGUGAGCUGCAAGGGAAUAGUCCGUGAGGGGCUCUGUUUGCUGUCGGGAGCCAUGGUCUGUCAUCUUGUUACGGUGCUGGGCCUCGUGGCUCUGGCUCGCGGUACAGGGUCGGGAGACUGGAACUACAAUGUGACUGUUUACACGGGAACUGAGACUGGAGCCGGGACAGACGCCAAUGUAAGCAUUUGGAUCUAUGGGGACUAUGUCGCAGAAAAUAUCAUACUCAGCCAUUCAACAAGAUACCAGGAUGCGUUUGAAAAUGGCCAGGUUGACGAGUUUCUCGUGAAGCUGCAUCCUCUUGGGAGAAUCAAGAAAAUUAUAGUUGGCAACGAUGGGUCACAUUCUUUCUCUGGUUGGAGUUUCAAACAACUUGUGAUCAAGGAGCGGAGCAGUGGAUGCACGACCAUGUUUGUGUGCGAGUGCUGGAUAAACGGCCAAAAGAAAACGCUUUUUCCCAAGGAGGAGACAUCGUGUGGUACAGAGACUGAUCAUACAGAGACUCCAGAUGUCACCACUGUCUUCACAACAGCCACGACCGCAGAACUCGGCAGAUCAUCACACUGCAAGUAUCAUGGACUCCUGCUGGCCGGGAUCAUUGUGGCUGGGUUCAUAUUUCUUGCUGUGAUCGUGGCGAUGGCCAUCAUGAGAAGGAAAACAGUGGCAGUGAAGGACGAGAUGGGGAGACAGGAUGGGGGGCGCAUUGAACAGCAGACAACCACCCUGUCCUGAGACUGCAUGCCAUCACAGGUCCCGUGCGUCACGAGAGGGCCUGGAACUCCAGAGGAAUCCCUCUUAUCAUGUCACGGCCGUUACGUCUCGCUUCCUCUUGCUCUCUCGGGGUCUCCUAGUGGCCCUGGUAUUUACGCUUGACCCGUGUGCAUACCCAGACUCGAUGUAUCCAAGGCGAAGUGACCACUAACCGUUUCACUCGGGUUCCCAGAGAAUGCACGGAGCCUUAGCGCACCAGUAUGGUCUACUCCAGCGGUCGGGAACCUAUGGCUCGCGAGCCAUAUACGGCUCUUCCGGUGACGGCAUAUGGCUCCCAGACAAUUUUGAGUUGAAAAAAAUAAUAAAUAAAAAAAAUAAAAAAAAUCAGUUUGGAACUGAUUUUAAAAUACUUGUGAUAUUGCUUAAUAAUACUGUGUCAUUUUAAAGUAAACAGAAAUUAGUUUUGAAGAUAAAAUGUCUCGGGUCACGGAUCCCGUGACCAGAAGUCACAUUAAAAGUAAGACAUAUUUAAUUUAUUAUACGUUAAAAAUACUAUAUGGCUGUCAAUGAAAUAUAUUAAUAAAUAUAUUGCGUUUAUGGCUCUCCCAGUCAAAAAGGUUCCCGACCCCUGGUCUACUCGAAUGUUCCUUUAGCGAACCUUAACUUCUCCAGCCACUGCAUCGUCUGAGUUUGACCUCAUCUGCUCUCACAGUUUUCACCACCUCUUCACUCGCAGCAUCCAACCUACCAACCAUAACACAAAAUGAUUACGUUAUUUAAGACCGAAGCAGGUGGAUUGCUUCACUAUUCUGGCAACUUGCCCGAUGAUGAUGGAUGUAAUUACCAGCAAAGCGUCAUAUUCAAACUGUAAAUGUUGUGGAUUUACUCUUCAACACACCGGUGGGCUGAAGUAUUAACUAAUUGGCGCGUUGUUUACGUGACAAAUCUUACUGGCUGUGUCGGGUGGUGGAGGGUUAUGACACAUUUAUACUUACGCGAUCUAACCCAAAAACCUUUCUUAUGAAUAAUAUUGAUAGCGAAAGCCUACAUGUUACACUGAUCAGUGUCCUUUUUAAAUCCUUUAUAUUAAGGUCACUUGCUUGCUUGCUUGCGCGCUUACGACCGUGCAAAUCUUUCGGUCGUUUUUUAACCCACUUCCCGUGAUCCAAUCGAGCUGACAUUUUGCACACAGACUCGUUGUGCGUGACAAUUUACUUUCGUGAAAAUUUGUUUCCAAAAUUUUCCACUUUUUAGGAAUUUUUUUUUAGUUUGUAGUGAAGUACAAAAAGUGAAAAAAAGUGAAAAAAUGGUGUCGAAUUAAAAAUGUGACUCUAUCUGCAUAGUAAUAAUUAUCUGUUAAACUUAAGAGGACAUCGUAACAUCAGAAUGCUGGAUUGACAAGACAUUCUUGAAGAGUUUUAGUGAGUUUUAGUUUUUCUUGCGUAUUCAUAGUGUAAACAAACUUCAAUUUUCAGUUUCGUCGUCGUAUUUUAGGCCAGUGUUAUGUGAAUUGAAAAAUAAAACUGAUGCCACGCAUAUAAAGGAUUUAUAGUGAAAAACUUUGAUUUUACAGGUUAAUUUUUUCCUUUCCUUUCCAGUAAUACAUUUUCCAACCCUGCCCUGGUCACUCAGCAGGGAUCGCGGACCUUGUUUGCACUACACACACAUGGUGGCAUGCGCUCACACCUACACACACACGCGCGCGUGCAUGCACACAUGCACACUCACUUUUACACACACUUUCACACAUACACACGUGGGAGCGCGCGCACACACACAAACACUCACUCCCAGCGACAGGCUGUAACUCAUAUCUCGCGGAGGAUCUCUCCGCUGAACUAAAUAGUUCCUCGGUUCAGUUCGCGAGGUGCGAAUUCGCGUUUGCAAGUCACGUUAAAAAAAUAUCUCGUGGAAGCAGGUUUAUAAGUGCGGAUGUUCGUAGGUCGGGUGAGCGUGAGUCGGUGACUCAUUAUACUCUGGUAUUUCGUUUCCAAGUACAUACAUAUUCUCCAAAAUAAGGAACCAAGUGAGUUUUGAAAUUUCAGCCAUAAACCACAGGUAAGAAGUUGACACAAUGGAGCGUGGGUGAUUUUGUGCAUGAGCCAGCUGAAUGUAAAUGUAAAGCUAAGUGUUGUGAAUGUAUAUGGCUCCUGGAGGGGUAUAUGGCAGCAGUUCUGAUGACUCCACUCUACUUAUGACUCCUAAUAAGAAUGAAACUGGCCAACAAGCUGUCUGCAUUUCACUGCUGCCGGUUUGGGACGGCUACAUUUUCUCAACUCCAUGAGCAAAUAGUUUGAACGACUUACCUCUAAUGGCCACACAUUAAUCUAUUUUGAACUUGUGGUCUGUGGAAGGCUAAAGUACAUUUUAAUUCCUGUGAGAUAUUAGCUCAACCGAUUAGUGUAAUUGUUGGGUAAUCGAGGCAAUGUUUUUUGUAAAUCCAAUAAGACUGCAUCUGUCAAAGUCAGUAGGAAUUAUGGUGCAGUGGUUAGCACUGCCCGAUGACCCUCGCACACAAAACCAGACGCGUCUUCCUUGCCGUACCCCCCUCCCCUUGGCUGUCGCAACUCAGAUGCAUGCACUGUGGGCUCAAGGCUGAUUUUGCGAAACUCGCGUGGUUGCUUCCAUUAUUACACACGAGGGGUGUUAUUUGAAAACUGAUGACACCAGAAUUUAAGAUGAGAAAAAUUCGGUUGACAGUAACCAAGUUGUAAAACCAGUCUCCCACGGGAGACUCCUGUUCUGCCUCACGGCAGGUGUGGGGGUGUGUGUACACAGGAAUUUCCUGUUUGGAUGUUGGGUUUGGUCACGUGACCAGGAAGUUACGAUUUUACAUCCUCUCAGCCACGCGGCAGGGCAUCAGCCAUUACAAAGAGUACAAAAUGGUGGCACAAAUAGCGUCCCAGUGAAGACAGGUGCAACUGUUCAUUGUGGGGCUUUAAAAAGCAUUGUCUGUAAGUUCGUUUAUGUUCUUAUAAUACUGGAAAUGCUGUUAUAAUGUUAGAAUGGCCGUUAUAAUGCUGUAAAUGCCUUUAUAAUGCUGUUAAAUUGUUAUGAUAAAUAUGAGGCCUAGUUAACGAUGAAGCCUGCCACUUGCCUUAUUGUGAAUGUUACUUGUAAUUGAAUAAGUCGAGUCAGACUUGUACCCAUGUAACCAUAUUGCGAUCUUGAGAGCAAGGAUGAAGAAGUAUCUCAUCCACAGUUCAGUGUGAUGUGCAGUGCCAUACAUUAAGGCUGCAGUAUGGUGAUUACAUGAAGUGACCUUAUUCAACACAGUAGCUUAUUCUCUUGUAUAGCUAUUCAGUGCUAAUGUAGGUGCCUGGUCCCCCCAGGACCUAUUGUGGAGUUUCAUGUUAUCUAAGACAAUGUUACGAUGCUGCAGUGGUCAUUGUAUUGAUAUUCCAAGUAUUAACAGAUGCUGUGUUUUGUGCUGUGUUUUUC